AACGCUAGCUACAGGCUUAACACAUGCAAGUCGAGGGGCAGCAUGGGGUUUGCUUGCAAACCCUGAUGGCGACCGGCGCACGGGUGAGUAACGCGUAUCCAACCUUCCCGUCACUCGGGGACAGCCCAGCGAAAGCUGGGUUAACCCCCGAUGUUGUCAUAUGAUAGCAUUAGAGUGUGACGAAAGGCUAACGGUGACGGAUGGGGAUGCGUCUGAUUAGGUAGUAGGCGGGGUAACGGCCCACCUAGCCGACGAUCAGUAGGGGUUCUGAGAGGAAGGUCCCCCACAUUGGAACUGAGACACGGUCCAAACUCCUACGGGAGGCAGCAGUGAGGAAUAUUGGUCAAUGGGCGCAAGCCUGAACCAGCCAAGUAGCGUGAGGGAAGACUGCCCUACGGGUUGUAAACUGCUUUUAUAAGGGAAUAAAGUGGGUCUCGUGAGGCUUUUUGCAUGUACCUUAUGAAUAAGGACCGGCUAAUUCCGUGCCAGCAGCCGCGGUAAUACGGAAGGUCCGGGCGUUAUCCGGAUUUAUUGGGCUUAAAGGGAGCGUAGGCCGGAGAUUAAGCGUGUUGUGAAAUGUAGACGCUCAACGUCUGCACUGCAGCGCGAACUGGUUUCCUUGAGUACGCACAAAGUGGGCGGAAUUCGUGGUGUAGCGGUGAAAUGCUUAGAUAUCACGAAGAACUCCGAUUG
rnacentral:rRNA from 1 species